rnacentral:rRNA from 1 species
AGCGUAUAUUAAAGUUGUUGCGGUUAAAAAGCUCGUAGUUGAAUUUCGGGGUCAGUAGGUCGGUCGUGCCACUGGUAUGAACUGGUUUUACUGAUUCCUCCCUCUUGAAGAACUGUAAUGCCAUUAAUUUGGUGUUGCAGGGAAUCAGGACUGUUACUUUGAAAAAAUUAGAGUGUUUAAAGCAGGCUUUAGCUUGAAUACAUUAGCAUGGAAUAAUGAAAUAGGACGUUUGAUCCUAUUUUGUUGGUUUCUAGGAUUGACGUAAUGAUUAAUAGGGAUAGUUGGGGGCAUUAGUAUUCAAUUGUCAGAGGUGAAAUUCUUGGAUUUAUUGAAGACUAACUACUGCGAAAGCAUUUGCCAAGGAUGUUUUCAUUAAUCAAGAACGAAAGUUAGGGGAUCGAAGACGAUCAGAUACCGUCGUAGUCUUAACCAUAAAC